rnacentral:rRNA from 1 species
UACGUAGGGUGCGAGCGUUGUCCGGAAUUAUUGGGCGUAAAGAGCUUGUAGGCGGUUUGUCGCGUCUGCCGUGAAAAUUCGAGGCUCAACCUCGAACUUGCGGUGGGUACGGGCAGACUAGAGUGUGGUAGGGGAGACUGGGAUUCCUGGUGUAGCGGUGAAAUGCGCAGAUAUCAGGAGGAACACCGAUGGCGAAGGCAGGUCUCUGGGCAACUACUGACGCUGAGGAGCGAAAGCGUGGGGAGCGAACAGG